rnacentral:rRNA from 1 species
UACGUAGGUGGCAAGCGUUGUCCGGAAUUAUUGGGCGUAAAGCGCGCGCAGGCGGUCCUUUAAGUCUGAUGUGAAAGCCCACGGCUCAACCGUGGAGGGUCAUUGGAAACUGGGGGACUUGAGUGCAGGAGAGAAGAGUGGAAUUCCACGUGUAGCGGUGAAAUGCGUAGAGAUGUGGAGGAACACCAGUGGCGAAGGCGGCAUCCUGGACCGGUAUUGACGCUGAGGCGCGAAAGCCAGGGGAGCAAACGGG